UGUUAAGUUCCCGCCCCUCACGUCGACAGCCUCCACAGACUAGCCGGUGGAGGAGGAGCGCUCGUGGAGGCUGCUUAAGGCCAGUACGCAAGCGCUAGCCCUCCCUCGCUCCCUGUAACACGUGACCAGGUUGUAGCGCGGACACGAGUCUCCACCCCCUGUGGGCGGGCGGCGGGCUGGGGCGGGGGCCGUGGAAUGUCUUUGUCUGAACGCUGGCCCGCGGGCUCGGGGAGAGCUUGAUUCGCUCCAGCUUGGAGCCCCGCCUCUUUCUAACAGUCCCGGGGGAAGGGACUGUGGAAGGUAACCCCAAAACCAUCACUCCAGCUUUAACCCAACCCCGUGAAUAACAAGAAGGUCCUUAGUCUUAUGGAGCAGCGGCAGAGGUGGCCUCAGGGUCCCUGGUGGCCCAGGGACUUCAUGAAGGAAAGCUGUAGUCAUCCUCUGGCUGGAGCUCAUGGACUUUGCAGUAUUUGGGGAGUGACAACACGGGGCGGGGGGAGAAGCAAAUACCAUCCAAUGUUUAGCGUCUGUUACGUGUACGUGCAAUUAAACAAAUACUAAGAGGCCAGAAUUUGGAAUCCUUGGACCUGGUUUUGAAUCUUGACUUUGCCCUUAAGAACUUAGACAAAUCAAGUGUAUCCUCAUCUACAAAAUAAAGGGGUUGGACUAAAUAA